GGACUACCCGGGUUUCUAAUCCUGUUUGCUCCCCACGCUUUCGCAUCUCAGCGUCAGUCACUGCCCAGAGGGCCGCCUUCGCCACUGGUGUUCCUCCCGAUAUCUACGAAUUUCACCUCUACACCGGGAAUUCCGCCCUCCUCGUCAGGACUCCAGGCCGGCCGUUUCGUGUGCGCGUCCAGGGUUGAGCCCGGGGCUUUCACACCCGACUGACCGACCCGCCUACAUGCGCUUUACGCCCAGUAAUUCCGAGCAACGUUGGCACCCUCUGUCUUACCGCGGCUGCUGGCAC
rnacentral:rRNA from 1 species